AGCUCAUGGAGGGGCUGGCGCACAGCGAGAUCCACAGCAUCCGCGACUUGCAGCGCCUCCUGGAGAUUGAUUCCGUAGAACCUGAAAUCAGUUAUCUUCUGUGGGGGUUUUGCUUAUGCAGCCAAUUCACGAUCAGCCCCUGUGACUCAGGGUAUCAUGAGUGAUUGUUCUUUUCAGCCCAGCCAGCUGCCCCCACCAAGAAGUGAGGCUCAGAUUAUCAGUUUUACAGCCUUACAGACACUGUUUGCAGGAUAUGACGAAGUUUCAGAAACAAAUUUGAGGUCUCAUAGCGUUCACGCAGCAAAACAUGCGCAAGAGAAUCGCCCUGUACCUGUUCGCAGAAAAAGAAGCAUUGAGGAAGCCAUCCCUGCUGUCUGCAAAACAAGAACUGUUAUAUACGAGAUUCCUCGGAGUCAGAUUGAUCCCACCUCUGCCAAUUUCCUGAUAUGGCCACCAUGCGUGGAGGUGAAACGUUGCACUGGCUGUUGCAACACCAGCAGUGUGAAAUGCCAGCCAUCACGGAUACAUCACAGAAGUGUCAAGGUGGCAAAAGUGGAAUAUGUUAGAAAAAAGCCAAAAUUAAAAGAAGUUCUGGUGAGGUUAGAAGAGCAUAUGGAGUGCACCUGUACAUCAUCAAAUUCUAAUUCAGAUUAUCGAGAAGAAGAAACUGGAAGGCCUAGGGAAACAGGUAAAAAACGGAAACGAAAAAAGUUAAAACCAACCUAAAAACUACUGGAACUAUUUGAUAUCAGAUUAACAGGUAUUUAUUGGGAGUAGUAUGAUAGAAGCAAAGAUUUUGUAAAAUUCAUCUUUAAAAGUGAGCAUGUAAACUCAAUCAAAACAGCAUUUAGAGCUUCUUGUCCCAGAUGUAAGGUGAAAAUAAGCUAGAAAAACAAACAAACUUCUCUCUGGGACAUGGAUGUACAUGGUUUGUUACAUUCCUGAACCUACUAUGUAUGGUGCUUUAUUGACUGUAUACUUUAUUUGUUCUCCCAUGUGAAAAAAACUGGCUCUAAAGGACACUUAAUGAGAACAAAGAGACAAUGUACAUUUGUUUAAUGUGACAUCAAAGCAAGUAUUGUAGCACUCUGUGAAACAAUAGGAAGCUUCCCUAUCUAAAAAACGGGAAAAAAAAAGAGAAAAAAAAAAGAGAAAAGUCAAGGAAAAACUAAAGAAAGAAAGACAGUUGAAUGAAUGGAGGAUACCAAAAGUACUCAAAUAAAUGACAAAAAUCUCAGUGAAUAGUGGAUUUCUGUCAGAGCAGUCAACGGUGCUUUAUGUCAAGAAAUGUGCCUGCUUUCUUGAUGAAGAUGGAUGGACACUGAUGGACUUCA